AUAAAUAAGCGGAGGAAAAGAAACCAAACGGGAUUCCCUUAGUAACGGCGAGCGAAAAGGGAAAUGUCCAGCACCAAGUCUUGACAUCUACGGUGUUCAAGAGAUGCGGUGUUAAUGUAUCGACCCAUCGUGCACUGUUCCACAUUUCAAGUUCCUACGACCGGGACUUCCAGAGCGGGUGUAAGACCCAUAGAGAUGAGGAACCAGUGUAUGCUGAGCGAUGCAUUCUAGAGUCAGGUUGCUUGAGAGUGCAGCUUAAAGUCGGUGGUAAACUCCAUCCAAGACUAAAUAUUACAGCGAGACCGAUAGCAAACAAGUACCGUGAGGGAAAGUUGCAAAGCACUUUGAAGAGAGAGUUCAAAAGUACGUGAAACCACUGGGAGGCAAACAGAUGGAACCACGAAGUGUGCGCCUCGGUCGAUUCAAUCAUCACCAUUUGUCAGUUUUUGKYAAUUAGGAUCUUUUCGGAGAUUGAUUGCCAAGAAUUAUGAUGGAUGGUGUUGGUGCAUUUCGUGCCGGGGAUGCUAAGCCACGUUCAACUAGAGUUGGGACGGCUGUAAGAAAGAAUCCGAGAAAGGUGCCCGUCACGUGCUUGCAUUUGACGGUGUUAUAGWCUUGGAUUGGCACCGUCACCUAACAUACUGGUUGAUGCAAAUUCUCCAUUUGGAGUUGAACCAUGUCUGCCUGUGGCUGUUAGUCGAUGUUGCGUAAUGUUCUUUGCGUAUCUUUCGAUGCGAAAAGACUUUGCAAAGAUGUCGGCYAAUGGUUGCUUGCGUGASAUGGUGGAACUGUGGCGCGAGUAGGUCGGUCUCCAUCUGACCCGUCUUGAAACACGGACCAAGGAGCCUAUCAUAUACGCGAGUCGCACGGUCUUGUWUAGGCCUGUGAGGCGGAAUGAAAGUAAWGUUACGAGGCUUCGGCUGCAGUAACGGCUCGCCCACUUUGUUUAUUGGCAAUAUGGCGAAGCUGGAGCGUAUACGAUGGUACCCGAAAGAUGGUGAACUAUGCCUGGGCAAGACGAAGCCAGAGGAAACUCUGGUGGAGGUCUGUAGCGAUUCUGACGUGCAAAUCGAUCGUCAGACCUGGGUAUAGGGGCGAAAGACUAAUCGAACCAUCUAGUAGCUGGUUCCCUCCGAAGUUUCCCUCAGGAUAGCAGGCGUUUAUUUGGCAGUCUCAUCCGGUAAAGCUAAUGAUUAGAGGUCUUGGGGUUGAAACGACCUCAACCUAUUCUCAAACUUUAAAUGGGUGAGAUGGUUGACUUUCUUGAUUGAAGCCAACCAUUUGGAUGCAAAUGCCUAGUGGGCCAUUUUUGGUAAGCAGAACUGGCGCUGUGGGAUGAACCAAACGUCGAGAUAAGGCAUCAAAUGCGUACGCUCAUCAGACCCCAUGAAAGGUGUUGGUUGCUAUAGACAGCAGGACGGUGGCCAUGGAAGUCGGAAUCCGCUAAGGAGUGUGUAACAACUCACCUGCCGAAGCAACUAGCCCUGAAAAUGGACGAUGCUGUAGCGUGGAGCCGAUACUCGACCGUUAUGACGAUUCCUUKAAGAAUGCGAUGUCAUAACGAGUAGGAGGGCCGCAGUGUUAGCGUUGAAGGUGUCCGGCGUGAGCCGGCCUGGAGCUAUCAUUGUU
rnacentral:rRNA from 1 species